AGGGAUCGUUUCUGAGAUUUUCCUGACCACACAAACAGAUUCCACAUCCUCAACCAGUGAAACCAGCACACCAGGUGUUGUCAAUGCAUCAUCACCUGAUGCUUUUACUGACAAAGACACAAAAGCAGUCCAUGCAGAUUCUGUCCUCUAUGCGGUCGGAGCUGGGCUUCUAGCUGUGAUUGUAUUUUCUGUUGUACUGGUCUGCAUUUUUUGGUACAAAAAGAGAGUACAGACAUCAGCAGUGUCAGCACCAUCUACACACACGGCUAAUGAUUAUAAAAUCGAGGAGAGCAACUGUGAUUAUGAGAAUGAUCCACAAGAGAGACCGAAUGCAACCACAGAGAAAUCUAAAAACAAGACUAAAGGCUUUCAGAGGCAAACAGAUCCGGUCUACGUGAAUACAUGUCAACACUAUGGCAGAUCCUAACUAGAACUGGGCACAAAAAUCGAUUUUUGAUUAACUGUUUUUAUGUGGUUGAUUCUUUAUCAAUUCUCAAAAGCCCAGAAUAUUU